rnacentral:rRNA from 1 species
AUUGAACGCUGGCGGCAGGCCUAACACAUGCAAGUCGGACGGUAGCACAGAGGAGCUUGCUCCUCGGGUGACGAGUGGCGGACGGGUGAGUAAUGUCUGGGGAUCUGCCCGAUAGAGGGGGAUAACCACUGGAAACGGUGGCUAAUACCGCAUAACGUCGCAAGACCAAAGAGGGGGACCUUCGGGCCUCUCACUAUCGGAUGAACCCAGAUGGGAUUAGCUAGUAGGCGGGGUAAUGGCCUACCUAGGCGACGAUCCCUAGCUGGUCUGAGGGGAUGACCAGCCACACUGGAACUGAGACACGGUCCAGACUCCUACGGGAGGCAGCAGUGGGGAAUAUUGCACAAUGGGCGCAAGCCUGAUGCAGCAAUGCCGCGUGUAUGAAGAAGGCCUUCGGGUUGUAAAGUACUUUCAGCGGGGAGGAAGGCGAUAAGGUUAAUAACCUUGUCGAUUGACGUUACCCGCAGAAGAAGCACCGGCUAACUCCGUGCCAGCAGCCGCAGUAA